UACGUAGGGGGCAAGCGUUGUCCGGAAUCAUUGGGCGUAAAGAGCGUGUAGGCGGCCCGAUAAGUCUGCUGUGAAAGUCCAGGGCUCAACCCUGGAAGGCCGGUGGAAACUGUCGGGCUAGAGUCCGGAAGAGGCGAGUGGAAUUCCCGGUGUAGCGGUGAAAUGCGCAGAUAUCGGGAGGAACACCAAUGGCGAAGGCAGCUCGCUGGGACGGUACUGACGCUGAGACGCGAAAGCGUGGGGAGCAAACAGG
rnacentral:rRNA from 1 species